GCUAGUAAUCGCGUAUCAGAAUGACGCGGUGAAUACGUUCCCGGGCCUUGUACACACCGCCCGUCACACCAUGGGAGUGGGUUGCUCCAGAAGUAGAUAGUCUAACCCUCGGGAGGACGUUUACCACGGAGUGAUUCAUGACUGGGGUGAAGUCGUAACAAGGUAGCCCUAGGGGAACCUGGGGCUGGAUCACCUCCUUAUACGA
rnacentral:rRNA from 2 species